GAUGAACGCUAGCUACAGGCUUAACACAAUGGCAAGUCGAGGGGAAACGACAUCGAAAGCUUGCUUUUGAUGGGCGUCGACCGGCGCACGGGUGAGUAACGCGUAUCCAACCUGCCCACCACUUGGGGAUAACCUUGCGAAAGUAAGACUAAUACCCAAUGAUAUCCCACGAAGGCAUCCGAAUGGGAUUAAAGAUUUAUCGGUGAUGGAUGGGGAUGCGUCUGAUUAGCUUGUUGGCGGGGUAACGGCCCACCAAGGCAACGAUCAGUAGGGGUUCUGAGAGGAAGGUCCCCCACAUUGGAACUGAGACACGGUCCAAACUCCUACGGGAGGCAGCAGUGAGGAAUAUUGGUCAAUGGGCGAGAGCCUGAACCAGCCAAGUAGCGUGCAGGACGACGGCCCUAUGGGUUGUAAACUGCUUUUAUAAGGGAAUAAAGUGGGUCACGUGUGACUUUUUGCAUGUACCUUAUGAAUAAGGACCGGCUAAUUCCGUG
rnacentral:rRNA from 1 species